UACGUAGGGGGCGAGCGUUGUCCGGAAUUAUUGGGCGUAAAGGGCUCGUAGGCGGUUUGUCGCGUUGGGAGUGAAAACUCAGGGCUUAACCCUGAGCCUGCUUCCGAUACGGGCAGACUAGAGGUAUGCAGGGGAGAAUGGAAUUUCUGGUGUAGCGGUGAAAUGCGCAGAUAUCAGGAGGAACACCGGUGGCGAAGGCGGUUCUCUGGGCAUUACCUGACGCUGAGGAGCGAAAGUGUGGGGAGCGAACAGG
rnacentral:rRNA from 1 species